GCAGUGAGGAAUUUGGGACAAUGGGCGCAAGCCUGAUCCAGCCAUGCCGCGUGCAGGAAGACGGUCCUAUGGAUUGUAAUACUGCUUUUGUACAGGAAGAAACAUUCCCUCGUGAGGGAGCUUGACGGUACUGUAAGAAUAAGGAUCGGCUAACUCCGUGCCAGCAGCCGCGGUAAUACGGAGGAUCCAAGCGUUAUCCGGAAUCAUUGGGUUUAAAGGGUCCGUAGGCGGUUUAAUAAGUCAGUGGUGAAAGCCCAUCGCUCAACGGAGGAACGGCCAUUGAUACUGUAAGACUUGAAUAGUUAGGAAGUAACUAGAAUAUGUAGUGUAGCGGUGAAAUUUAGAUAGAUUACAUGGAAUACCAAUUGCGAAGGCAGGUUACUACUAAUGGAUUGACGCUGAUGGACGAAAGCGGGGAGAGCGAACAGGAUUAGAUACCCUGGUAGCACACGCCGUAAACGAUGGAUACUAGCUGUGCGGUGCAAGGUCAGUGGC
rnacentral:rRNA from 1 species